rnacentral:misc_RNA from 1 species
GAUGAAGAACGUAGUGAAAUGCGAUAAGUAAUGUGAAUUGCAGAAUUCCGUGAAUCAUCGAAUCUUUGAACGCACAUUGCGCCCCCUGGUAUUCCGGGGGGCAUGCCUGUCCGAGCGUCAUUGCAACCCUCAAGCGCGGCUUGCGUGUUGGGCGCCGUCCCCCGUGGACGCGUCCGAAAGGCAGUGGCGGUACCGUGCUCCGGUGCCCGAGCGUAUGGGCUUAAAACCCGCUCUUGUGGCCCGGCCGGCGCUGGCCUCGACCCCCAACUUUACAAGGUUGACCUCGGAUCAGGUAGGGAUACCCGCUGAACUUAAGCAUAUCAAUAAGCGGAGGA